rnacentral:lncRNA from 1 species
AGGCACGAGGUUCACGCAGCCAGAGUAGAUGACAGCCCUGGGAUGGCCUGUGUUGCAGGCUGGGCCCCCGCCCUGGCUUCUGGUCUUGCGCCGAGCCCCAGGGUGCUCCCGAGCUGGCGGGGAUGAAUGCUCCUGUCUCAGACCCCAGCCUGGGGCACCGAUGUGGCUUCUCCUGGGUGGGGCUGGCCCCUGAGCCCACCUUGGCUUGAUGAGCUGGGGCUGUAGCAGGAGGGGCUUGUCUCUUUAGCAUCUGCUCCUCAGAGAAGGGGUCCUACAUUUGCUGGAACGUUCCCUGUGCUUGCUGCUCUGCACGCCCCUCCGUUGCCCCUCUGCAAACCGUGAUCCCGCACCUGUGUGUUCACUUGCUUUAUGAGGUUAGGAGCUGCGGUCCCAGGGGCCUUGGAGGAGUGGCCAGGCCAGACGACACUUCAGCUGGUGGUGUCCCAAGGGGAUUCUGCCUCCAGAGGCACCUCGAGAGACCAGCACUCUGCGGGGUCCUUCUCUUUGGUUCCUGCCCCUCCCCUUUUCCAAGGGAUCAAGGUCAGGAAGCAAAUGAGAUUCCCUGGUCCCCAUCUCCCUCCCACCCCCCACCCAGAGAAAGAUGCUUUAAUGUCCUUUCAGGCGUCCCCCAGGAGCCGAGGAAGAAAGGCAGGGAAGACAGGCUAGGACCACUUGGCUGGAGAAACAGCAGGCCAUUUUCCAGCUGGAUCUAAAUGAAAGAUUUGGCAGCCUGCCAGCCCACAGCAUCCGCCAGAAUCCCUCCCUGGGGACUGGCGAGACUCAGCCGCUAUCUGCAGUGCCGCCUGCGCCUUCCAGACGAAGGGUCCUCCCUCCUCCCUGAGCUUGACCUUCCCUCUGUUAUUAGCAGUGAUGUCACUAACAAUGAUUAUUCUUCUGCUGUUAUUAUCAUGCACCUUCUUCGUGCUGUGUGCCGUUCGUAUCUCAUUUAUUUCUCAAAUCACCCCUCGGGGGCAGGAGAGAGGUGCACAGCAGUUACGUUUUUUUUUUUUCUGUUGAGAAAGAGGAGGCCAGGCAUUGUGUUCUCUGCCAGAUGUCACCUGGCCCCCUUCACCAUGUCCUGGGAAAAUGCCCUAUGUCCCCAAGUCCUGGGUGGGCAGGGCUGCCGUGACCUGGAAGCCCUAGGAGGGGUGCUCCUGGCCAAACCCCAAAAGUCCAGGGUCCACCCGGCCCACCUCCUUUGCCCCAUCUGCUCCACGGGCCCCUGACCUCGGUCGUGUGGUGAUCAAGACAGGCGAGAGGCGGGGUGACUGAGCCCUGAGGGCCCACAGGGACAGAGUCUGUCACCUCCAAGCGGAAAAAGAGGCUACUCCAAGAAGUCCAAGUGAUCAGAAUUCAGUGGUGGCCUGGUGUCCUCAGCAAGUGACUUCUGAGAUUAGACUUUGAGUAUUUUCUUUCCCUUUUUUUAUGGGGGAGGGGGGAGCAGGGACACGGGCCAGGGACAAAGCAGUGCAAACCUUUGCGAAUAAAGGGAGGAAAGGCCCCCUGCCACCGCCCCUGAGAGAGAAAACAAAACGGCAGUUACAAUGGAGUGGUCAAAAGUACCCAAAAUUGGAGUUCCCGUUGUGGCUCAGCAGGUUAAAAACCCAAUGUAGAGUCCUUGAAGAGGCAGGUUCGAUCCCUGGCCUCGCUCAGUGGGUUAAGGAGCCAGCAUUGCUGAGAGUCCUGUGGGGUAGGUCGCAGGUGUGGCUCAGAUCUGGAGUGGCUGUGGCUGUGGCGUAGGCUGGCAGCUGCCCCUCCGAUUCAAACCACAGCCCAGGAACCCCCAUAUGCCACAGGUGCAGCUGUAAAAAGAAACAGGGAAAAAAUACCUACAAUUGACUACAUAAAUUUUGGAAUAUAAUUCUGCAUUGUUUGUACUGAGUCACGGUAAAAGUCAUACAUUUUUGGUAAAGAUAGAUCAUAAAAGCAGAGAAAGCCCUAGGGAGGCUGGAAGAGGCUACACCCUUCCGGGGGGGGAGGGCAGUAGCUGGCUCCUGCCCUUUGAGCAUCGUGCAGGCUCGCACCUGCCCAGACCUCUCCAACCAAGCCUUUGACGAGGUCCACUCUCGGCUCCUGGCUUCUUGUGCAACCUGUCUUGCUGCCUUCUGGGAGGAGGGUUGAGACUCGUGCUGGCUUGGGAAUAAAUCCUGCCAGUCAGAGGAGGCACAUUUGCAAGGAAUUCAUGUCCCACUGCUGCCAGGGAACUCCAGAGCCCUCCUUCCACACCAAGCUCCCUCCACGUUGCUGAGCAGCCCCCAGGGGCCCCCGUGUCUGUCUCCUCAGCCAUCUGACAAACUGGACAACCACCAAAUGUACAGUCAUAUCGCUGUCCCAGCAAUCCAGAUAGUUCUGACUGGGGCCCUGGAAACUGGCAGGAAGGGCCCUUCCAAAUGAUUAUACUUGAGGAGUUCCCAUCGUGGCUCAGCGGUAACAAACCCAACUAGUGUCCAUGAGGAUGCAGGUUCAAUCCCUGGCCUUGCUCAGCAGGUUAAGGAUCUGGCACUGCUAUGGCUGUGGUGUAGGUUGGCAGCUCAGCUCAGAUUCAACCCCUAGCCUGGGAAAUUCCGUAUGAUGCAGGUGUGGCCCUAAAACGACAAAAAAAAAAAAAAAAA